AUUGAACGCUGGCGGCAGGCCUAACACAUGCAAGUCGAGCGAGCGUGGGACGGGUGAGUAAUGUAUGGGGACUGCCCGAUAGAGGGGGGUAACUACUGGAAACGGUAGCUAAUAACGCAUACUAUCGGAUAACCCAUAUGGGAUUUGCUAGUAGGUGAGGUAAUGGCUCACCUAGGCGACGAUCCCUAGCUGGUCUGAGAGGAUGAUCCGCGACACUGGGACUGAGACACGGCCCAGAUGCCUACGGAGGCAGCAGUGGGGAAUAUUGCACAAUGGGCGCAAGCCUGAUGCAGCCAUGCCGCGUGUAUGAAGAAGGCCCUAGGGUUGUAAAGUACUUUCAGUCGGGAGGCGUUACCGACAGAAGAAGCACCGGCUAACUCCGUGCCAGCAGCCGCGGUAAUAC
rnacentral:rRNA from 1 species